GGCAGGACGGUCCUAGUCAAGUCGGUCAUUAAAGCAAUAGGCAUUUACUACAUGACGGCUCUAAACCUUCCGGUUGAAAUUAUAGAGAAGAUUGAUGCACUCCGACGGGCUUUUCUUUGGGCUGGAUGUGACAAGGUCAUGGAUGGCAAAUGUAAGAUAAACUGGGAGCAGGUGUGUAGGCCCAAGCUGCUUGGUGGGCUAGCUGUUCUAAAUCUUGCAAAAUUUGCUUCUACGCUGCGGCUGCGAUAG
rnacentral:rRNA from 1 species